rnacentral:ncRNA from 1 species
ACCUCUGGAAAGUCUAAUGACACCGACGGGGCAAGCCCUACUGUAAAGGGGGUGAAUCUCUCAGGUAUAUGACAGAGGAG